CGACGUCCGUUUGUCGCUGACGAGGCGGGCCGUGGAUCAGUUUCGGCGUUCUCGUCUGAUCCGUGGACCAGGAAGUCGAUGGGCCCAGGCGGAAAUUGUACGGGUGGUCUGGUUCCUUCGUGACCUCACUUCAGAGCUCGAGGCUGGCGGCGGCGGCGCCCCCAUGGAGUUCCUGAUGCAGCCUAUACGCCGAUCCACUUUCCUAGAGGUGGUGGGAGCGAGUUUGGUGCCCCCACCAGUACCGGCGGAGCCGACUGUGGUGGCUAUGGUGGUGGAGCAUCAGGUGGUGGUGGAACAGGUGGUGGCGGCGCAGGAGGCUCCGAUGGGCAGCGUGGACGCACAGAUCUUGGCGACCAAGGGAGCGUCGGCUGAUAUGAGGGACAGCUUGCCACCGACCUCGGAGCUGUCAACUGGAAGAUGAAUCCCCGAGCGCUUCGAUGGAGUAGCGUCUGCAGUGGCAACGAGGCGGGGCAGCUGAGCUACGGAUCGGAAUCGGCAGAUCCAAUAUUAUUCAGAAAGUAGGGAAAGUUUGGUGCCAUGCGAUUUGCUGCAAAUGGGACUGCCGAAUCAGGUGGAGGUGCCGCGGCAGCAUCCCACGGCAGGAUCUUCGGGCCUGCUGCGGUGGUGGCGAACAGAAGGGAUAACUCGCCUAGUUGCCUUCAACCAUCGGGCUCUCCACGGGGAAGAUGAAUCCCCAGGCCCCGGCUGAAAUAAAAGGUGUGUUUGUGUUUGCUGGCUGAGAAUUGGUGCUGCCGCACCCAGCAGGACACAUCUUGCAUUAGUGACUUCGAGAAGGCUGUCAGGUGUUUUUAUAGAAAAGCCAGCUGAUAGUGUGACCGCUCCAGUUCUUGGCAGUACUUUCGACUCACUUGGCAAGGUGUAUGGUUUAGACAUUUUGCUUUGUACAUUUGGCAAUUACUCCGGUAUAUUUUAGCCGUGUCCUCAGUUCUUGUUAUUUCCUGCAUUCUCAAGAAUUGAAAACAUAUUGUAGGGUAAAGUUGGUGUUCAGAACAGAAGGUCUUGCCAUUGCGAAUGCCUGGCUCUGAUAAAGACUUUUACAAGCAGAGGACAAUGUUUGAUACUCCUCUGUAAAGAAAUAUAUUAUUUCUUUACAAAGGGAGUACAUUAAGCAUAGAGAGAGUCAUAAUAUUCGCUUUCACUGAAUUUGGCGAGAUAAUCCACAGUUAGAGAAGCAGGAGAGAGUUUGAGGCAAGUAACCCGUGGUAGUAAUCAUACUAGUGGAAGUAUUGGCACUAACAAUGUACCCAGGUCAUUUCCAUGUGUUGGAGGCUCGCUUACGUCUCUGGGAUAUUAAAUAUAUUAUGUGCAAAUCAGGUGCUGAUGCUGGCUCUGGGAGGGGUACGAGGGGGCAGAACAAGAGUUGUUGUGUUAACAAUGCAGUGACAGGUUGUGAGAUCAUUCAGAUUGACUGACUGAGUGUUGUGAGAUCAUUGAAAUUUUGCUGCGACAUUUUGAAUUUGCAGGGGAUGGGACACCUUGCGAUGUGCCUGAAGCCUUGAUGCAAUAUGACCGCAAUGAUGUUGCUGGACAAUCAGACAUCCAUGAGCAUGAGGAUGAAGUGGGUAGGGGAUUGUGCGUGAUGUCAGGCUGGAUGAGGAGUAACCUAAGGUUGCAGAUAGGCAUGGUCAGGACAUCGUGAAGGGUGAGAUGGGUGAUAAGUUCCGAGGAAAAGCUGGUUUGAAGGAUGAAGAGCCAAACGCAAGAGACAUGCUACUUUCUAUGACAGGAUGUUGUCAUGCACUUCCAGAGAACUUAGCAAGAGAAGACUUCGUGAGGGAGUUCGGACCAAACGGGCUGUUGACAGUGGAUUCGUGUGUCGCGGCUGAUCAUUACAAGGAAGGUCGGAUGUUUGAUAGUUGACAGAUCAGGUGGCACCACGUCUUUGACUUGCGGUUUGUGAUGAUGCUGCCGGUGCCAAUGUACGAGGUCCAUAGUGUAUGAGGUGAUUUUGAUGAGGGGGACAGGGUUGAGCUGCCAGAUUUCAUGCUUGAAGUGCUCUUUCUUAGGUAUGAGUUAUACGGAUGUAGUAUUUUAGAUCCGGUGUCUGCGAGAUUGAUUAUGAAACACGCUGUGUACAUUAGACACUGGAGGGGAAUGUUAGCUACCAUCUCAUUUUGUGGUGUGGUAGUGAUUCUAAGCCCAGUGUUUGCCACAUUGAGCCUAACCUGUAUUUUGAGCAAGACAUGGCAAGCUAGAUUACAUCCUAGUCAGCUGGCGUGGAAGUGCUUGUGAUCACUCUGUGCUUAGCUAUACUAUAUUUGCAUGUAAGGAUUGACAUGCCACAUGUUGAAGGUGGUAACGGAACCAACAGAUGAUGAAUCGUUGGUUUUUAAGAUUUGUAAGUGCUUUGUUAAGAUUGUAGUGCAGAACUCUGUAAGGUGUUCAUUUUGCAAUUAAUGCUGUUCAGAACCAUUUGGAGUUA